GGGGGGAGCACCAGAUCCUGGGCUGUGUCCCCGGUGCCCUGUGCUCCCGGGCCUGCGCUGUUGGAUUCGCGCUCCCGGCCGUGCAGCCCCCU
rfam:Canis lupus familiaris chromosome X, whole genome shotgun sequence.